rnacentral:lncRNA from 1 species
CAAUACUAAUUUUUUAAAUUUAGUAUCUACCUCAUGUGCUACACCUGUAUUUACCUCUUGUGCUUCACCUGUUAUUUCUACAUGUGCUA